UCUGAUGUGAAAUCCCGGGGCUUAACCCCGGAAGUGCUUUUGAAACUGGAUGGCUUGAGUAUGUCAGGGGCCAGCGGAAUUCCUGGUGUAGAGGUGAAAUUCGUAGAUAUCAGGAGGAACACCGGUGGCGAAGGCGGCUUCCUGGACCCAUUCUGACGCUGAGGCGCGAAAGCGUGGGGAGCAAACAGGAUUAGAUACCCUGGUAGUCCACGCCGUAAACGUUGAUCACUAGGUGUAGCGGGUUCGACCCUUGGGUGCCGCAGCUAACGCAUUAAGUGCCCCGCCUGGGGAGUACGGUCGCAAGGUUAAAACUCAAAGGAAUUGACGG
rnacentral:rRNA from 1 species